GUUCUGAGUAGUUCUGAAUAUCAUCUCGUGUCGAUAACCGGAAACUUCCGAAGGAUAGGAAACAGUCCAAUCACCUUUCUCGGAAAGCUGAUCAUCUGGAGGAUCUUGAACACGAGCGAAUCAUAGCAGAAUUGGAACCCGAUAGAAAUCCAUUUCACAUUGCCAUUAGAUUAAUUUAUUUAUUUUAUCUGUUGUGCAAUUACCUCUUUCCAGGGAUUGCUUCCUGAUGUAAAUACCUAUUUAGAGG
rnacentral:lncRNA from 1 species